rnacentral:rRNA from 1 species
CACGCACUCCUACGGGAGGCAGCAGUGGGGAAUAUUGCACAAUGGGCGCAAGCCUGAUGCAGCCAUGCCGCGUGUAUGAAGAAGGCCUUCGGGUUGUAAAGUACUUUCAGCAGUGAGGAAGGUGGGUAUGUUAAUAGCAUACUCAUUUGACGUUAGCUGCAGAAGAAGCACCGGCUAACUCCGUGCCAGCAGCCGCGGUAAUACGGAGGGUGCGAGCGUUAAUCGGAAUUACUGGGCGUAAAGCGCAUGCAGGUGGUUUGUUAAGUCAGAUGUGAAAGCCCGGGGCUCAACCUCGGAAUUGCAUUUGAAACUGGCAAACUAGAGUACUGUAGAGGGGGUAGAAUUUCAGGUGUAGCGGUGAAAUGCGUAGAGAUCUGAAGGAAUACCGGUGGCGAAGGCGGCCCCCUGGACAGAUACUGACACUCAGAUGCGAAAGCGUGGGGAGCAAACAGGAUUAGAUCCCCUGGUAG